UACCCGUGAUGAUGACAAUAUUUGAGCAAUUGCUUGAAUUGCUCCCGGGCUUCAUAUAAAAUUUCCCCUACUUUUUGUUGAAACUCACCAUCUCGCUUCUCAAUGA